CCGUGCAUCUUUUGUGUGCCCAGGGCAGAUAUAUUUUCAAUAGUGUUAUGAAGAUUUUGUGCAAUUAAAAAUUAAUCCGCAUAAUUACACGUAAAAUAAACAUCAGGGCUGCAACUUUACAGACUGCUGAGCAUCUUUUGAAGUGUGAAGCAGGUCAUGAAUUGUAAUUUUCUUACAUUCUUGUCACCCAUAUGUCGUCAAGUUUUGUAUGCUGUUAUAGCGUUGUUUUUUAUCUUGCUGUAGGGCACAUGUUGGAAUGGAAGUAAAGAGUUCAACGGUGGCUAAGCAGCCAUAUUUUUCAACAGUUGUGUGCUCAUCAAUCAAACUUAAGUUAAUUUACUCUCACGGGACCACAAGGCCUGCUGGCUUCCAUUGUUUUUGUCUAGUCAAGAGCAAACUUCUGUGGGCAGCCAGUGGUAUCCAAGAGGGAAGGGACCUGGAUUGCUCUGGUUACUGCAGCUGCGUCUUAUUUUAUGUGGUCACCUUUUCUACUGUAUUUAAAAAUUUUGUAAAAUCAUUCUGCAUGUCCUUUAAUUUAUUAGUCAAUAAAGCCGCUUUCUCACAA